CCCGCCUUCCUCCCCCUCACGCGAUUCCCACCGUCGCCACCCCCACCCACCACCGCCGACCUCGUCUCCGCCACGCACCCUCUCCCCUCGCUUUCAUCCCCCAGAUCCACCAGUCUGCUUCUCGGCCAUGGCGUCACGGCCGGUUUUCUCGCCGGCGCGCGCGUGCGUGCUUCGAUGCGCGCCGCUCCGUCGAGCUGGCCAGACCGUGGCGCGCGCGUGGACUGUGUAUCCGCUACCAAAUCUCCCCUCCGCUCCCGAAUCAAAUCCCCAUCACCUCCGCCACCACCCCACCUACUCCCACCGCCGUCGCGAGCCACGUGCGCGAGCGGCGAUGGCCAAUCCUCUGCUUCUCCUCCAUUCAUCGUGCACGCCCUGGGACGACGCCGGCCGACAGAUCUAGGGCGACGACGAACCCUAGCUGCAACGGCUUAUUGGUGCGGCUGCGGCGCAUCUGAUACUCGCCCCGAGCUCCCUCCUCCUCCGUUGCUGUGGCAGCCUUGGGACGAUAUUCGCCGCCUGUGACCGCUGUGUUGGGAACCGGUCCGGCCAAGGGGAAGCUGGGUUCCCAGCCAACGCAGCGUCCGGCGAAGCGGCUCUGCCUGCGGCCCGAUUGCGCUCACAACGUCCCCGUCACCAAGUUCAAUCAAAAGACUGGCAAGCCUCUCAAGUGUAAAGAAAAUGGCACGCUCUCAAGUCGAUGUAUACAGAGCGGUGUAUGCAUGUGCCAAACUGAAACCAUAUGUGUUACGUGGUGAAUUCUUGCUCCGCUCGGAAGGAGUUGUCAUUGCCGUGGGAGUCUCUGACCUCUUCUUCUACUACCUAUUGCUGCUGCUGCUGGGUGUCUGUAGCUACAGGGGAAUCCACUGUAGUCCUACUUGCGAACUCAACGAAACUGCAGCACAAUUUGAAUAUAGCACCUGACACUGAUGUAAAAGCCGCAAGAACCACUGUAAAGAAUUGACGUGCCCUUUAGCUUGUUGAUUCAUGCUAAUCCACCCAGUUAUUCUGUGUCUACUUCAGUUGCAAAGAUGUCCAUGGAGAAGAUGGCCAUUGGACUGUAGGGGAGCGAGAGGGCUGUCACCAAGAAGGAAGGCAUUGACUUUGCCAAGGAGUAUGGAUGUCUAUCUGGAAUGCAGCGCAAAGACCAAAGUGAAUGUUUAGUAGUGGUUUGAAGAGGUUGUACUGAAGGAAUCAAUGAUGCCGACCUCCUUGCAGAGUUGUGCCAGGUACCAAAUGAUGACCUACUCGCACAGUUGUGACAGACUUUACCCCUUGCUAGAUCCUUCGGUGGAGGUGACCCAUGUGAUGGUGAUUCGCUCCAGUAGUUUCGGUCUGGCAGUGGUGGUGCUACACUGCUACUGCUCCUAUGAUGGCUACGCAUUGGUAGGCUCGGCUGCCUCCCUUUGCUGUCGCUGUGAUGGUGAAGCUCAGCCUAGGCUACAACCACUUCCGAUGAGCUCCUCAGAUCAGGAUCUAAUGUUGUUGGGGUGGCUGUUGUUGUGACCAUGAUCAGAAGAAGCCUGGAGAUGUGCACAAUAGUUUUAGUUGAUGUUGCCACCAUGUUUUGGUGCAUGUGUAUUUCUUUUUGAUUGUAUGCAAACUUGAUGGAUCAUGCAGACGUGUAUGUGCUGUUGUGAGUUUCAUUGAGUGAUUUCUGGAUUUGAUCAUUUAAUUGAGAGAAUUAUUGAUUGUUUGUUGUUGAAAUGUGUAAAAGAAAUCUGUGAAUGAAAAGGCUGAAUGUUCUAUUGGAUCAAA